rnacentral:rRNA from 1 species
AAAUCAGCACCUCAAGUGGUCAGGAUGAUUAUUGGGCCUAAAGCAUCCGUAGCCGGCUCUGUAAGUUUUCGGUUAAAUCUGUACGCUCAACGUACAGGCUGCCGGGAAUACUGUAGAGCUAGGGAGUGGGAGAGGUAGACGGUACUCGGGAGGAAGUGGUAAAAUGCUUUGAUCUCUCGAUGACCACCUGUGGCGAAGGCGGUCUACCAGAACACGUCCGACGGUGAGGGAUGAAAGCUGGGGGAGCAAACCGGAUUAGAAACCCGAGUAGUCC